UACGAAGGGGGCUAGCGUUGUUCGGAAUUACUGGGCGUAAAGCGCACGUAGGCGGAAUGUUAAGUCAGGGGUGAAAUCCCGGGGCUCAACCCCGGAACUGCCUUUGAUACUGGCAUUCUCGAGUCCGGAAGAGGUGAGUGGAAUUCCGAGUGUAGAGGUGAAAUUCGUAGAUAUUCGGAGGAACACCAGUGGCGAAGGCGGCUCACUGGUCCGGUACUGACGCUGAGGUGCGAAAGCUAGGGGAGCAAACGGG
rnacentral:rRNA from 1 species